rnacentral:misc_RNA from 1 species
GAUGAAGAACGCAGCGAAAUGCGAUAAGUAAUGUGAAUUGCAGAAUUCAGUGAAUCAUCGAAUCUUUGAACGCACAUUGCGCCCGCCAGUAUUCUGGUGGGCAUGCCUGUUCGAGCGUCAUUUCAACCAUCAAGCCCCCGGCUUGUGUUGGGGACCUGCGGCUGCCGCAGGCCCUGAAAAGCAGUGGCGGGCUCGCUGUCACACCGAGCGUAGUAGCAUACAUCUCGCUCUGGGCGUGCUGCGGGUUCCGGCCGUUAAACCACCUUCAUAACCCAAGGUUGACCUCGGAUCAGGUAGGAAGACCCGCUGAACUUAAGCAUAUCAAUAAGCGGAAGA